rnacentral:lncRNA from 1 species
AUGAACUUGAAAGAACUGUACUUUUGCAUCCAUUGGAAAAGGUGUCCAAGACAAGAGAUGGAUCCAAAUAAUAUUGCUACGAGACAUGGGUGCCCUGAAGGAGUGAGGGAUGUGACUCCCUUGGCAAGGAUCCUUCAGACGAAAGGGAGUAUGGUGGACUUUCUCCACGUGGAAGCAGGCUCAGAGAUGGACUGUGAAGCCUCCAAGAAGGAUCCCAGGUGUGAAGAAUGA